rnacentral:lncRNA from 1 species
AAAGGUUGAUUUUAUUAUUCAAAGACAAUCCCAAAUGUAGGUUCCUUUGACAACUCUUAGUUCUUACCUUUCUUGUUAAGUGGAUGCGGCAUGAUGCUGGACUAUAUGUAACUUGUAAUUAUUAACGAGUCACUGACUUAUUGCCUGAUGACUACUAGAAGUUGAGAUAAUGAACUACUGACUGUGGUGUUGCAUGUUGGUGUCUGACUGCUCUGACGUGGUCAAAAUAAAUGGGUGGGUUAUUGUUAUGCAGAAAAUAUUAUAAGUGAUAAAAUAUUAAUAUGUUGAACAUGAAGGAAAGUACUUUGUGGAUGUAGUAUUCUAUUGAAACAGGAAAACCAAGGUUUUGGUAACUUUCUGUUGCUAAGUGGCUACAAGUGUAUCUAAGUGGAAUUUUGGAAUUUGUAAUGAGGGUGCAGAUCUUUGUGCAGUUUGGCCUGUCCAGUAUACAGGAGAUCUGUUAGUUUGCUCAUUCUUGAUUGUCCAUGCAAUAUAAUUUAUCUUCCCACCGACCCCCACAAAAAAAUGACGUCUGUUGGAUAAAAUUGGAAAUACUAGUAUAUGAUAAUAUCAAAUUACUACAUAUCCGUAGUAAUUUGGCGCAGUGGUUCAAAUGAGACCCCGGGACGAGCCGUAGACUCGGACGUCUUUAGUUCGAAUACCCACAACUCCAAUUUGUCAAGCCAAUAAAAUGGUCACGAGUACGCGGGCGCAAGCCCAAGCCUGUAUAAAAAUCUUGACCCGGAGUGGGGAGAUUAGUUUUGUGGAAGAAGUCGUUUUAGGAGGUGUUUGAUAAAAAUUGAAUGAAUCUCAAUCUUGACCCGGAGUGGGGAGAUUAGUUUUGUGGAAGAAGUCGUUUUAGGAGGUGUUUGAUAAAAAUUGAAUGAAUCUGAAUCUGAAUAAAAUUUGAUAAUUGACAUGUCUGAAACAUCUGAAUGACAAAACUUUAUUAUUUU